GUUACUACUAAUCGAACCUACACCAAUGGCCAGUAUAGUCAUUCUUUUAC
rnacentral:tRNA from 1 species